UUUGGCGUUAGGGUUAAAAUCACUGUCCAAAACCUUUGUAGGAACUCUUUUCCAACCUUUUGGAGUUAGUUAAACCAAAAAAAAAAAGAAAAAUUAAAAAAUAUAUAUUUGGGGUUUUUUGGGCUUCCUGAAUGUAAUACCCGGGUAUUAGAUUUUAAGGCUAGGGUAAGGUUUAAGUUUUUUGGCGUUAGGGUUAAAAUCACUGUCCAAAACCUUUGUAGGAACUCUUUUCCAACCUUUUGGAGUUAGUUAGACCAAAAAGUAUGAAAAAAGAAAAAAAUAUUAUUGGGGGUUUUCGGGCUUCCUGAAAGUAAUACCCGGGUAUUAGGUUUUGGGACUAUGGUAAGGUUUAAGUUUUUUGGCGUUAGGGUUAAAAUCACUGUCCAAAACCUUUGUAGGAACUCUUUUCCAACCUUUUGGAGUUAGUUAGACCAAAAAAAAUGUAAAAUGAACAAAAAAAUAUUUGGGGUGUUCGGGCUUCCUGAAGGUAAUACCCCGGUAUUAGAUUUUAAGGCUAGGGUAAGGUUUAAGGUUUUUGGCGUUAGGGUUAAAAUCACUGUCCAAAACCUUUGUAGGAACUCUUUUCCAACCUUUUGGAGUUAGUUAGACCAAAAAGUAUGAAAAAGAAAAAAAUAUUAUUGGGGGUUUUCGGGCUUCCUGAAAGUAAUACCCGGGUAUUAGGUUUUGGGGCUAUGGUAAGGUUUAAGUUUUUUGGCGUUAGGGUUAAAAUCACUGUCCAAAACCUUUGUAGGAACUCUUUUCCAACCUUUUGGAGUUAGUUAGACCAAAAAAUAUGAAAAAAGAAAAAAAUAUUAUUGGGGGUUUUCGGGCUCCCUGAAAGUAAUACCCGGGUAUUAGGUUUUGGGGCUAUGGUAAGGUUUAAGUUUUUUGGCAUUAGGGUUAAAAUCACUGUCCAAAACCUUUGUAGGAACUCUUUUCCAACCUUUUGGAGUUAGUUAGACCAAAAAAAAAAAGAAAAAUUAAAAAAAAUUAUUGGGGUGUUCAGGCUUCCUAAAAGUAAUACGUAUUAGGUUAUGGGGCUAUGGUAAGGUUUAAGUUUUUGGCGUUAGGGUUAAAAUCACUGUCCAAAACCUUUGUAGGAACUCUUUUCCAACCUUUUGGAGUUAGUUAGACCAAAAAAAAAAUGAAAAAUGAAAAAAAAAUAUUUGGGGUGUUCAGGCUUCCUGAAAGUAAUACCUGGGUAUUAGAUUUUAAGGCUAGGGUAAGGUUUAAAGUUUUUGGCGUUAGGGUUAAAAUCACUGUCCAAAACCUUUGUAGGAACUCUUUUCCAACCUUUUGGAGUUAGUUAGACCAAAAAAAAAAGAAAAAUGAAAAAAAUAUUAUUGGGGGUUUUCGGGCUCCCUGAAAGUAAUACCCGGGUAUUAGGUUUUGGGGCUAUGGUAAGGUUUAAGUUUUUGGCGUUAGGGUUAAAAUCACUGUCCAAAACCUUUGUAGGAACUCUUUUUCAACCUUUUGGAGUUAGUUAGACCAAAAAAAAAUGAAAAAUUAAAAAACAAUAUUUGGGGUUUUCGGGGUUCCUGAAUGUAAUACCCGGGUAUUAGAUUUUGAGGCUAGGGUAAGGUUUAAGUUUUUUGGCAUUAGGGUUAAAAUCACUGUCCAAAACCUUUGUAGGAACUCUUUUCCAACCUUUUGGAGUUGGUUACACCAACAGAAAUGUAAAAUGAAGAAAAAAUAUUUGGGGUGUUCAGGCUUCCUGAAGGUAAUACCCGGGUAUUACAUUUCAAGGCUAGGGUAAGGUUUAAGGUUUUUGGCGUUAGGGUUAAAAUCACUGUCCAAAACCUUUGUAGGAACUCUUUUCCAACCUUUUGGAGUUAGUUAGACCAAAAAAUAUGAAAAAAGAAAAAAAUAUUAUUGGGGGUUUUCGGGCUUCCUGAAAGUAAUACCCGUGUAUUAGGUUUUGGGACUAGGGAAAGGUUUAAGUUUUUUGGCGUUAGGGUUAAAAUCACUGUCCAAAACCUUUGUAGGAACUCUUUUCCAACCUUUUGGAGUUAGUUAGACCAAAAAAUAAGAAAAAUGAAAAAAAAAAUAUUUGGGGUGUUCAGGCUUCCUAAAAGUAAUACCCAGGAAUUAGGUUAUGGGGCUAUGGUAAGGUUUAACGUUUUGGCGUUAGGUUUAAAAUCACUGUCCAAAACCUUUGUAGGAACUCUUUAACAACCUUUUGGAUUUAGUUAGACCAAAAAAAAAUGAAAAAUUAAAAAAAAUAUAUUUGGGGUGUUCAGGCUUCCUGAAAGUAAUACCCGGGUAUUAGGUCAUGGGGCUAUGGUAAGGUUUAAGGUUUUUGGCGUUAGGGUUAAAAUCACUGUCCAAAACCUUUGUAGGAACUCUUUUUCAACCUUUUGGAGUUAGUUAGACCAAAAAAAAAAUGAAAAAUGAAAAAAAAAAUAUUUGGGGUUUACGGGCUUCCUGAAUGUAAUACCCGGGUAUUAGAUUUUAAGGCCAGGGAAAGGUUUAAGUUUUUUGG